rnacentral:rRNA from 1 species
GUGAGGAAUAUUGGUCAAUGGGCGAGAGCCUGAACCAGCCAAGUAGCGUGCAGGAUGACGGCCCUAUGGGUUGUAAACUGCUUUUACACGGGGAUAAAGUGUGCGACGUGUCGUUCAUUGCAGGUACCGUGCGAAUAAGGACCGGCUAAUUCCGUGCCAGCAGCCGCGGUAAUACGGAAGGUCCGGGCGUUAUCCGGAUUUAUUGGGUUUAAAGGGAGCGUAGGCCGUCUGUUAAGCGUGUUGUGAAAUGUAGAUGCUCAACAUCUGAAUUGCAGCGCGAACUGACCGACUUGAGUGCGCAGGAAGUAGGCGGAAUUCGUGGUGUAGCGGUGAAAUGCAUAGAUAUCACGCAGAACUCCGAUUGCGAAGGCAGCUUACUAAGCUACAACUGACACUGAAGCACGAAAGCGUGGGGAUCAAACAGGAUUAGAAACCCGGGUAGUCC